rnacentral:tRNA from 1 species
GGAGAGAUGGCCGAGUGGUGAAGGCAUAGCAUGA